rnacentral:rRNA from 1 species
UACAGAGGGUGCAAGCGUUAAUCGGAAUUACUGGGCGUAAAGCGUGCGUAGACGGUUGCGUAAGUCAGAUGUGAAAGCCCCGGGCUCAACCUGGGAAUUGCAUUUGAGACUGCGUAGCUAGGGUGCGGAAGAGGGAAGCGGAAUUUCCGGUGUAGCGGUGAAAUGCGUAGAGAUCCGGAGGAACCCCAGAGGCGAAGGCGGCGCCCUGGCUCGCAACUGACGCUCAGACACGACAGCAUGGGGAGCGAACGGG